UUUCACCUUAAUUAUUCAUUAAGCUUUUCAAUUAUUCUGUGUGGCUCUAUAAUGUAAUGUGCUUUAUUUUACAAUAAAGGUAUUUAAAAAAAAAUCACCAUACAGUUAAAAGACAAACUAGGAAAAUCACUCAUAUUGUGAGCAAAUGACCAAUUUUCCCCAAGCAUAAAAAUUAGCUCCUUUGCAACUGCUAAAAAUAUCAACAACACAGUAGGAAAAUGAAAUAAAGAGAGUUCCCAGAACAGCAAAUAUAAUUGGCCUUUUAACAAAUUACAAAAGUUCAGCCUCACUACUGAAAAGAUAGAAGGCAGGUUUUU